UACGUAGGGUGCGAGCGUUGUCCGGAAUUACUGGGCGUAAAGAGCUCGUAGGUGGUUUGUCGCGUUGUUCGUGAAAACUCACAGCUCAACUGUGGGCGUGCGGGCGAUACGGGCAGACUAGAGUACUGCAGGGGAGACUGGAAUUCCUGGUGUAGCGGUGGAAUGCGCAGAUAUCAGGAGGAACACCUGUGGCGAAGGCGGGUUGCUGGGCCGACACUGACGCUGAGGCGCGAAAGCCAGGGGAGCGAACAGG
rnacentral:rRNA from 1 species